AAAAUUCUGUCCAGUAGUUCUCCACCUUCACACAAUUCCAUGACUAUGUAGACAUUAUUGGCGUCUUCAAAAGCAUCAUGAAAUUUGAUCAUAUGCUUAUGCCCAGAUAGAGCUUUCAUUAUUUUUACCUCCCGACGAACAUCUUCAAUGGAUAUUGCUGUAGUCAUCUUAGCUUUGGAAAUGAUCUUGACAGCGACGGGCUGUCCCUUGAGCUCUCCUCUC
rnacentral:misc_RNA from 1 species